rnacentral:misc_RNA from 1 species
CUUCCAUCAGCUCUCCUACCUCCAUCAGCCCAUGUGAAAAAUGGAAAAAAUUGUUGUCUUUAGAUUCUCUCUGAAUAAUUAGCAGCGGAAAAAAUUUCCCCGGAAUCCGGCAAUGUCUUCGCCAGCCCUGGAAACCUCUCCCCCUGUUCCAACUUCGCCUUCCACUGUUCCCACCUCGCCUCCAGCUACGAACUCCCCGUCACCUCCGCCGCCACCAUCGCAGACUAACUCGACUGCUUCGUCUCCGCCACCGGAGACCAACUCCACUGUUUCAACGCCUCCGGUGACUAACUCAACCUCUUUUCAGCCUCCACCAUCGUCGGAUUCUACGAAUGGCUCGACGACGUCUUUUCCACCGCCGUCUAAGGGGCUACCUCCUGGUGCUCUGGCGGGGCUAAUUGUGGGAAUAGCUUUGGGAGCAAUAAUUGUACUGGUUGCUAUGGGCAUUUUCUUCAUUUGUUACCGGAGAAAGAACAGAAGGGAGGCUCUGAGUUCUAAAGAUGACCAUAACAGACGCCCGCCACAGCAUUGGCAACAGAAUCACCCUCCACCUACAGACAAUAAAGUGACGUCGCUGCCUAACCCUGCCCCUCCCCCAGGAAUCUCUUUAAAGCCCUGUCAGUCUCCAGUGCUUGGUCCUGCUUCCCAUGAACCUCCUUCGACAAGUAGCAGUUUGGGCUUUGAGAAGACAUCUCCUGGAAUUCUUGGACUUUCACAGGGUACCUUUUCUUAUGAAGAACUUGCAAUAGCAACUAAUAGUUUCUCCGAUGCAAACCUUGUUGGUCAGGGUGGUUUUGGUUAUGUCCACAAGGGAGUCCUUCGUGAUGGUAAAGUGGUUGCAAUUAAGCAGCUUAAAGCAGGGAGUAGACAGGGGGAACGUGAAUUUCAGGCAGAAAUUGAGAUCAUUAGUCGUGUCCAUCACAGACAUCUUGUUUCAUUGGUUGGAUACUGCGUUACUGGAGCCCAGAGGAUGCUUGUAUAUGAAUAUAUUCCAAACAACACCUUGGAAUUCCAUCUACAUGGAAAGGAGAGACCAACUAUGAACUGGUCAACUAGAAUGAAAAUUGCUGUAGGCUCAGCAAAAGGAUUGGCUUACUUGCAUGAAGAUUGUCAGCCCAAGAUCAUACACCGUGAUAUCAAGUCAGCCAAUAUUCUUCUUGAUGAUAGCUUUGAAGCAAAGGUAUAGAGCAAACAAAAAGAAUUUCUUCAUAUGAUUCUUGAUGAUCUUUCAGUAUAGUUUUGGUUUCUCUUCAAUAUCCACAAUCCACCAAAUGUAUUGAAGUUGAAUAUCAUAUAUUAUUGAAGACAAUCUUAAAUUGCCUCUGUCCUUCCCUCUUUAUAAGAAGUAAUGAAUAGUCCAUGUUUCUCUAAUUCUCAUGUGCCAUAUACCCUUUUUUUUAUGAAUGUUUAUGAGGAUGUGAUUUUAUCCUUAAUGGAGUAUAUAUAUAUAUAUAUGUUGUGAUGAUGGUGGAACCACAAUUUGAGUGCUUAAUAUGUAUCCUUGGAAAAGUGAAAAUUGUGGACUCAUUUCAGGUUGCCAUCUCAAACUAUAUGGUUUAACUUUAUUCAAUUUGAUUCUCCUUAAUAUCAAUCCGCAUGUACCUUUUUUGUUAAGGUUGCUGAUUUUGGACUUGCCAAGCAUUCUUUGGAUACUGAUACUCAUGUCUCCACCCGAGUGAUGGGAACUUUUGGGUAUAUGGCUCCAGAGUAU